UAAAAGAUCGAAAUAACUUGCACUAAUGAAUCAUUCAAAAUACUUUCUGACCAUUAAUGUGUAUUAACAAAAUAUCUACAUUCAGUUUUUAUUCAUGUUGGAUAUAAAGGGCAUUCCAGCAGGUAGACACGUGCAGAGACAUGCUGAGCAUGAGUGGCCACUUUAUUUACUGCUACAAGAGAUGCUGCAGACAGACUUUAGUCUUGUUUAGAGCAAGAUAGAGACCUUUCCCUUCCACUGACAUGAUGAAGGGAUGACUCAACUGUCUGUGAUGCACAGAAGGGUUUAACCCGUUCAUGAGUGGCAAGAACAGGCAGGACGCCCAGUGAUGACAGCAGCUUCCGUCUGACUCUUCAAGAGAACUUGUCAUGUCUCAUAUCACGUCUGCUGUCAGGACGCUUUACCUUCAUAGCAGUGCAUUCAAACCAGCCCUCACCCGCUAACUCUCUGUCGCAGCACACAGAUGCCACGGGCUCUCUCUGUUUGCUCUGAGUGCAUGAUGGUCAGUGUUAGUCAUCCGCUCUUCUGUUCCCUGAAGGAAGGGAGCUGUGUUCUUGUUAUUGUGGAUAUCAUCAUCUCCAGCCUGCUGAUCUGAACAACUGAAUUCUUCCACUGCAAUUAGAGGUGCUCAC
ensembl:lncRNA